UACGUAGGGUGCGAGCGUUAAUCGGAAUUACUGGGCGUAAAGCGUGCGCAGGCGGUUUGCCAAGUCCGAUGUGAAAGCCCCGGGCUCAACCUGGGAAUGGCAUUGGAAACUGGCAGGCUGGAGUGUGGCAGAGGGGGGUGGAAUUCCACGUGUAGCAGUGAAAUGCGUAGAGAUGUGGAGGAACACCAAUGGCGAAGGCAGCCCCCUGGGCCAACACUGACGCUCAGGCACGAAAGCGUGGGGAGCAAACAGG
rnacentral:rRNA from 1 species